ensembl:lncRNA
GUGAGCGUGUGCCGUGUUCCAGGCCAUGUGUGUGAGAGGAUUACAGAGGCCCGUGCCACUCUCUGCAUGCCUGGUCCUUGUUCAUCCUCACAGCAGCCUCCCUGUGCAGGGUUCUGGAGCUCCAUUGUCCGGGCUGGUACACCGAGGCUCAGAGUGGCCUGCAGGCCCUUGCCCAUGGCCACGCACGGUGGAGUGGCAGAGUGGUCAGUUUUCACCACUACCCCGGGUGUUGACUUCUGAACUCCCUAAUUUUAUCAGGGCUGAGGCACAGUGGACAGGGCAGGUAAAAGCCAGGACCUCGGCUCAGGGUGACCUCAGCUCCGGGGAGAGUGGUCUCCGGAGAAAGAACGCAGCUCUGUAGUUGUCCAGCCAGGGUUUCAGUCCGGCCUCUGCUGUAUACCUGCGGUGUGGCCCCGGCCUGAACCUCAUUGCCUCCUCUAUAGAGGACUCUGGUAAAUAGUGGGAAUGAGGUUGGCAUACAGCAGGUGCAUAAUACAUGUGACAUGUGACAUGUGACGGGCUUCUUUACCCUCUUCUGUUCUCAUCACCUCUUUGACUCAGAAACAGGCCAAAGUCCUGUUUCCAUUUCUGGUUUAGGGCCUCCCGUGGGCUGUAGGGCCUGCCCUUUUAGGCAGGGCCCCAGGCCAAGGCUUGCUCAGCCCUCGCAUGCACCCGCCUAGGGUUGGGCCUGAGGCCCCCAAACCCUCCCGUGGCUCCAGGCUCCUGGCUGGAGAGUUUGCAGGGUCUGUUCAGCUAAAAGGACCUGGGAACACAUAUCAUCAGGUCUGGCCCCUGGGAUGCUGGGGAGCCUCCCUGAAGCCUGCUGCACCUCCCCGCCCUCGGCCAUGGGGAUGGGGCUGGGCAGGUCACUACCUCUAACCUGUGGGAAGACAGCCAUCUUCCCCCGGGGAGGGUGGUCCCAUACAGGGAAAAUUCAGGCCUGGACUUGGAUCUGUGUUUGAAUCUAGGCUCUUGGUGGCUGUGGGCAAAUCACUUCACGCUUUGUGCCUCAGUUUCCUCCUCUGUAAAUGGGGAUGAUAAUCCCUUCCUUCCCUAGGGUAGCUUGAGGGUCAAGGAGCCUAGGCAGGUAAAGUACCAGUCUGGGUCCCCCUCACAUCCAGAAUUUGCAGGUCACCCCUGCUGGUCCUGAGACAGUGAUGUUCUUUAUUUUUUGAGACGGAGUCUCACUCUGUCAUCCAGGAUGAAGUUCAGUACAGUGGCGUGAUCUCGGUUCACUGCAGUCUUCACCUUCAAGGUUCGAGUGAUCUCCUGCCUCAGUCUGCCCGAGUAGCUGGGAUUACAGGCACCUGCCACCAUGCCAGGCUACUUUUGUAUUUUUAGUAGAGACGGGAUUUCACCAUGUUGGCCAAGCUGGUCUGGAACUUCUGCUUUCAGGUGAUCUGCCUGCCUCGGCCUCCCAAAGUGCUGGGAUUAUAGGUGUGAGCCACCAUACCUGGCUGACAGUGACCUUCUGAAAGAAGCAGGUAGUGUGACCAGUGCAUGCACACUCUGGGAGCCAGGGCAGCAGAUUCAAGUCCCACUGCUGCCCCUACCCUCCAUGUGACCUUGGACAGGUGACAGCUCCUCAUGCCUCAGUUUUCCCAUCUGUCAAAUGGGAUUCACACUAGCACCGGCCUCACAGAGUGGUUGUGAGAAGGAAUGAAACCAUUUAAGCAUCAGAACUGCACCUAAUCAGUCUCAGCUCUUGUAUCACUGAGGGACAGGGGUUGCCAACAUUACUG